rnacentral:rRNA from 1 species
UACGGGGGGGGCAAGCGUUGUUCGGAAUUACUGGGCGUAAAGGGCUCGUAGGCGGCCCUCUCAGUCGGAUGUGAAAUCCCCAGGCUCAACCUGGGAACUGCAUCCGAUACUGGAUGGCUUGAAUUCGGGAGAGGGAUGCAGAAUUCCAGGUGUAGCGGUGAAAUGCGUAGAUAUCAGGAGGAACACCGAUGGCGAAGGCAGUUCUCUGGGCCGUAACUGACGCUGAGGAGCGAAAGCGUGGGGAGCGAACAGG